rnacentral:rRNA from 1 species
AGUGAACGCUGGCGGUAGGCCUAACACAUGCAAGUCGAACGGCAGCACAGUAAGAGCUUGCUCUUACGGGUGGCGAGUGGCGGACGGGUGAGGAAUACAUCGGAAUCUACUUUUUCGUGGGGGAUAACGUAGGGAAACUUACGCUAAUACCGCAUACGACCUACGGGUGAAAGCAGGGGAUCUUCGGACCUUGCGCGAUUGAAUGAGCCGAUGUCGGAUUAGCUAGUUGGCGGGGGAAAGGCCCACCAAGGCGACGAUCCGUAGCUGGUCUGAGAGGAUGAACAGACACACUGGAACUGAGACACGGUCCAGACUCCUACGGGGGGCAGCAGUGGAGAAUAGUGGACAAUGGGCGCAAGCCUGAUCCAGCCAUACCGCGUGGGUGAAGAAGGCCUUCGGGUUGUAAAGCCCUUUUGUUGGGAAAGAAAAGCAGCAGGUUAAUACCCCGCUGUUCUGACGGUACCCAAAGAAUAAGCACCGGCUAACUUCG